rnacentral:sRNA from 1 species
AAAUGAUGAUCACUCUCUUUGUAGAAACCCCUCAGCAAUUCUUUUUCUUUGGGGAUGGAGUCUCAUUCUGUUGUCCAGGCUAGAGGGCUGGAGUGCGGUGGUGCAGUCUUGGCUCUCUGCAGCCUCCGCAUCCCAGGUUCAAGCGAUUCUCCUGCCUCAGCCUCCCGAGUAGCUAGGAUUACAGGCGCCUGCCACCAUGCCCAGUUAAUUUUUGUAUUUUUAAUAGAGAUGGGGUUUCACCAUGUUGGCCAGGCUGGUCUCAAACUCCUGACCUCAGGAGAUCCACCCGCCUCAGCCUCCAAAAGUGCUGGGAUUACAAACAUGAGCCACUGCACCUGGCCCUCUUCCAGUGGUUCUUGUACAUGGGCAGGUUGGAGAAUUCCUGGUAGAGACAAUGGUGAGGGUGUUUAUAAUUUAAACUGAACAAAUACUAGGAGCUAGUGGGAGAUUUGUUGGGUGCGGUCUCCGCACCGGCACUUCCUCAGUGCUUUUGAUUUCAUGGGUGAAAUUUCACACUCCUAAGAGACAAAUGAGACCCUGCCCACCCAGUUGAAAUCGGAAAGUACCAUACAGUGGGAGUAUUUUUCCUUUUGGUGGCGUGAAUGGAGUGAGAUGGUUAUAAAGAGGCCCUGCUGCAGUUGUGUCAAUCCAGGAGUGGGUGCUUUCCUCCUAUGUCUGUGUACAGCUGUACACUCUGCAUGGAUGGGCCAGACCUAAUUAAGAGUCACAUGAAAAUGGUGAUCAUUGCUUAAUGGGAAUAUCCAGAUUGUGACCAAAAUUGCUGUUACUGAGGUUGUUCACCCACCUUGUUCUCCAGACAUGAACUUGCAUAGCUUUUGGCUAGUUCCAGAAAUUAGACUUACUUAGAUGGAUAUAAGCCUUUUUGAGGGUAUUCAAAAGAAUAUAAAAAUCAAGGAAUACUCUAAAGAGCUCCAAAAAUGCUUUGGUCAGUGGUUCCCCUGUUGGAAUAAAUUCAUGGCAUUCCAGAAGGGCAGCUAUGGAGGAGAUGGCCCUCACUUGGUCAUAUUCCUUUUGUCUUUAUUGGUCACAUUACUUUAUAGUCUCACCCAUUAUAUUCAAAUACAUUUCAGAGGUCAGCUGUCGAGGAGUGUAUGCACAUAUAUAGACAUAUGCACAAACUAGCUGUCUGUGAAACUAAUGGGACGUAUUCAACUUUUCACGUAAACUCCAUGUGAUGACAAAUUUGUAUUUCCAAAGCUGAUUCUAUAUCAGUCAUCAUGGUCUUCUGGACUUUCUAUCGGGCAGAAGUUCUAGUUGGAAGAUGAAGCAUAUAUGAAACGACUUCAUGGGACUAGGAAAUAGAGUAAGUGAGAGAGGAUGCAAGGUGAUGGCAGUUACAGCACUUAAUAGCCUUAAAUUGGACCUAUUCACUUGGGCUUCCCUAGACAAAAUGAUAGCAUUAGCACCACUGAGGAAUGUCUACCUCAAACAAAUACAAGCUGGUUCUGCAAUUCAUCUCUUUGUCCAGUGCCGCCUGUGUGAAGUGGCUAUUUUAGAGUUACUUUUUUGAGUUGGAGAGCUGGAUUUGCAUAGCUUUUGCAAUCUAUAGGAGUAGAUUGCUUCAGAAGGCAGUGCACAGGGCCACAUGGGGUCACACCCACAGCCUUGGUCUGAUGAGUGGGAAUGCUUUCUCCCCUCCCCUAGAAGGAUGACUAACAACUGCUUGCUUGCUUUCCUUAGCCAUUCUGGGUACGACUCUUCUUUUGGAAGCAGGUGGCAGAAAAAAUCCCACUGCAGCCAAAACAUUUCAGGAUUUUGAAUCCAGUUAUCAUCAAAGAGACUGCCUUUGACAUCCUUCAGUACUCAGAGCCUCAGUCAAGGUUCUGGGGCCGAGAUAAGAACGUCCCCACAAUCGGUGUCAUUGCCGUUGUCUUAGCCACACAUCUGUGCGAUGAAGUCAGUUUGGCGGGUUUUGGAUAUGACCUCAGUCAACCCAGAACACCUUUGCACUACUUCGACAAUCAGUGCAUGGCUGCUAUGAACUUUCAGACCAUGCAUAAUGUGACAACGGAAACCAAGUUCCUCUUAAAGCUGGUCAAAGAGGGAGUGGUGAAAGAUCUCAGCGGAGGCAUUGAUCGUGAAUUCUGAACAUAGAAAACCUCAGUUGAAAAUGCAACUCUAACUCUGAGAGCUGUUUUUGACAGCCUUCUUGAUGUAUUUCUCCAUCCUGCAGAUACUUUGAAGUGCAGCUGAAGUUUUUAACUUUUAAUUUAAAAACACACAAAAAAUUUUAGCUCUUCCCACUUUUUUUUCCCUAUUUAUUUGAGGUCAGUGUUUGUUUUUGCACACCAUUUUGUAUAUGAAACUUAAGAAUUGAAUUGGAAAGACUUCUCAAAGAGAAUUGUAUGUAACGAUGUUGUAUUGAUUUUUAAGAAAGUAAUUUAAUUUGUAAAACUUCUGUUCGUUUACACUGCACAUUGAAUACAGGUAACUAAUUGGAAGGAGAGGGGAGGUCACUCUUUUGAUGGUGGCCCUGAACCUCAUUCUGGUUCCCUGCUGCGCUGCUUGGUGUGACCCACGGAGGAUCCACUCCCAGGAUGACGUGCUCCGUAGCUAUGCUGCUGAUACAGGGUCUGCGAUACAGUGGCGUGAGGCCUGGGCUGGUCGGAGAAGGGCACAACCCUUCUCUGUUGGUCUGCCUUCUGCUGAAAGACUCAAGAACCAACCAGGGAAGCUGUCCUGGAGGUCCCUGGUCGGGGAGGGACAUAGAAUCUGUGACCUCUGACAACUGUGAAGCCACCCUGGGCUGCAGAAACCACAGUCUUCCCAGCAAUUAUUACAAUUCUUGAAUUCCUUGGGGAUUUUUUACUGCCCUUUCAAAGCACUUAAGUGUUAGAUCUAACGUGUUCCAGUGUCUGUCUGAGGUGACUUAAAAAAUCAGAACAAAACUUCUAUUAUCCAGAGUCAUGGGAGAGUACACCCUUUCCAGGAAUAAUGUUUUGGGAAACACUGAAAUGAAAUCUUCCCAGUAUUAUAAAUUGUGUAUCUAAAAAAAAGAAACUUUUCUGAAUGCCUACCUGGCGGUGUAUACCAGGCAGUGUGC